UACGGGGGGGGCAAGCGUUGUUCGGAAUUACUGGGCGUAAAGGGCGCGUAGGCGGCCCUCUAAGUCAGACGUGAAAUCCCUCGGCUCAACCGGGGAACUGCGUCUGAUACUGGAGGGCUUGAAUCCGGGAGAGGGAUGUGGAAUUCCAGGUGUAGCGGUGAAAUGCGCAGAUAUCAGGAGGAACACCAAUGGCGAAGGCAGCACUCUGGGACGGUACUGACGCUGAGACGCGAAAGCGUGGGGAGCAAACAGG
rnacentral:rRNA from 1 species